UUCGGCUUGCAGUGGGGAAUCUUGGACAAUGGGCGCAAGCCUGAUCCAGCCAUGCCGCGUGAGUGAUGAAGGCCCUAGGGUUGUAAAGCUCUUUCGCCAGGGAAGAUAAUGACGGUACCUGGAUAAGAAGCCCCGGCUAACUCCGUGCCAGCAGCCGCGGUAAUACGGAGGGGGCUAGCGUUGUUCGGAAUUACUGGGCGUAAAGGGCGCGUAGGCGGGCCCAUAAGUCAGAGGUGAAAGCCUGCAGCUUAACUGCAGAACUGCCUUUGAUACUGUGGGUCUUGAGUGCGGUAGAGAGGAAUGGAAUUCCAGGUGUAGUAGUAAAAUACGUAGAUAUCUGGAAGAACACCAGUUGCGAAGGCUGUUCCUUGGGCCGUUACUGACGCUGAGGCGCGAAAGCGUGGGGAGCAAACAGGAUUAGAUACCCCAGUAGUCCAAGCCGA
rnacentral:rRNA from 1 species